AUAUAUAUUGCAUAGAACUUAAAUGUGAUUUUAAAUAUAAUAUCACUAAAUCUCAUCAAAAACAUAUUAAGUGUUAAGAAAAUAUAAAGAUAAUUUCAUUGUGAAUAUAAAACAAAUAAUAUAAUUAUAGGAUCUCAUUUAUAUAAAAUAUAUAUACAUAUAAAUUAUUAAUUUAUAAUUUUAAUGGACCAUAUAUUUAUAUAGAAUAUUCUAAAAAAAUAGUAUCUUAUCAUUUUAUCGAUUUGCGUCAAAUUUUGAACCGACCCAAGUUGGGACCGGCGAAAUUUAUUAAUUUACAGAGAUUAUUAAUUUAUCGAGUAUUAAUUUAUAGAGGUUCUACUGUGUUUCUUAAUCCUAGUAUGUUACUUAGUAAACGUUUCCCCCAUUUCGUUAUUAGCGACAUGGCAGUCGUUUUGGUUAUCUUUGAGGUUUUGUAUCAUGUAAGGAAUUACACCUUUAUCAUAUCUGACUUCAAGUAACUCAUCAAUCGCUAGUUUUUCUGGACAGGGAGUUUCGAAAAAAUUGAUUUCGCCGAGUUUAAGUGCAUUUAAAAACAUUGAUAUUUCAACUUAGCUAUCCCAUUUAACACGUUUUAAACCCUUUGCAAAGAAAAUCUCACCUAAUUUCUAGGGUUUGUUCGGGUUUACUAUUACUCUCCAUCUUAUCUUCUUAUUCUCUUGAUCACUAGUCAUAAGAAAAGGUGAUUACUAGAGUGUUUAACUGGAAAAUGUCAGCUUUGUUGAAGAAGACUUUGGUGGAAAACGAUUUGGAGGAUAUUCUGAGUAGGUGUUCACACCUUCAAUAUGUGGUCACAGGCAAUGAAAUGAUGGUUCGAAAAACAACUGAUGGAUUAUUUGCCAUUUCUGGAGAUUUAGAUUCAAAUGUGGAACAUCCCUUUGAACCAUUACAUCCAAUAAUCUAUCACUUCUUUGGUGGAGUUUUCUUUUCAAGUUAUUGUUGUUGCUUUGGCCCAGAAAAGACGCAAACUAAAAGACUAUGUUAGGGUAAUUAAAAGUCAUGAUUGACAUUUCUUAACUGUUGAGGAGAUCUGAGAAUGUCAACCUUCCAAGUGUUCAUAAUCCUUUGUGACUACAAAAUGAUUCAGAAGAGAUGUUACUCAUUCCAACGGUUAACACACGAGCAGAAUAUGUUCCCUCUUAUAAAGUUAAGAAAGAAGCUGCAUGUUGGUAGUGCAAGUUCUAAAGAUUCAAAACAUAAAAUAACAGAAGAAUGCAUCAUCAAAGAAAAAAAUCCUCAGUUUGGAGUAGUGAAAGUGUUUCAGGUGGGAUCAAUCUAAUAACAUGCAUACCGAUAAUGCCAACAUAGAUGCUUCAAGGAAUGAAAGAGUACCUGAUGGUUGCUGAUAGAGCUGAAAGAUAGCUAGACAAGAAAGGAUAAAACAAUUCAUAUUGGAACUGGAAAAUGAUUACAUCGGUCAGAAAACGAUGUUACGGCUUGAACCUUUUCCAUUAAGUACUCCAAUGCUGGAUAAGGGUAAAGGAGUGGUCUUUGAAUUUUAACAUAAACAUAUUCUGAAUAAGAAGGAUGAGAGUAUGCUCAGAAACAAGUUAACGGGAGAGUGACAAAAGCGGGAAUGACUCUGACCAUGAACCCAAUUAUUGGCUGUUUAUAGACUGAGACAGAAGUGUAUUCGAAUAAUGUUUUAGUGGUUUUUGUUCCCAACGGAUUUCUGCAUUGGUGUUGAUGACACAAGUGUGUUCCAGACAAAUUAUAAUAUUAAGCCAAAUAAACUUCUAAGUACAUACAAAACAAAUAUAAAGAACGUCAUCAUGGAGGAAGACUAACAAAAGAUAGAGAAAAAAAAUGUGGAACAAGAAGAGUCUGGUGCAGAAAAAGAUAGGUGUUUGAAGAUAUGGAGACAUCCCAAAACUCUUCAAGAUGUAAGAAACCAUUGGUAUUCCAAAGUGAGGGACCGUUCAAACUUUAGAUGACAAUGCUCAGUUGAAUUGUCAAGAUUUGGGCAGGGCACAAGACUUGGUGAUUCCAAGACUCAGAAAGAUGAGAAAUAAAUCUUCCCUGAUAUUAUGUUCUUGUUGGAAACAAAACAAUAUCGUGACGUUUUUGUUGGGAUAUUAUAGAGUUAUGACAGUAAGCCUUUGUUGAUUUGAGUAACGAUUUGGCAGUAUUUUGGAGGAAUUCUCUUGAUGUAGAUAUAAAUAUGUGGAUAAGAAUUUCAUCGACUUUGGUGUACAGCGGAUAAUAACUAUUUUUUUCUAGUGUAUACGGUGAACCACUAAGAAAAGACAAAUCCAAAUAUGCGGAAGACUCACCAAAAGCAGCAUUCAGAGACAUCAGCCAUGAUCUUAAUGAAAGAAAAAAAAUAAUGGAGAAAAUUGGGAGCAAAACCGUGCGAACCUUUGUAGCUGCCAUAAGAAAUAAAACAAAUUCAUAAAAACUUCUAAUAAAAAAUAACAACACCUAUUAAAUUAAACUAA